rnacentral:rRNA from 2 species
UAACGAUACGGGACUCAUCCGAGGCCCCGUAAUCGGAAUGAGUACACUUUAAAUCCUUUAACGAGGACCCAUUGGAGGGCAAGUCUGGUGCCAGCAGCCGCGGUAAUUCCAGCUCCAAUAGCGUAUAUUAAAGUUGUUGCGGUUAAAAAGCUCGUAGUUGAAUCUGUGUGCCACGCUGUUGGUUCAUCGCUCGCGAUGUUUAACUGACAUGAUUGUGGGACGUCCUACCGGUGGGCUUAGCUCCUCACGGGGCGGUCCAGCUAAUAUCCCAUCGCGGUGCUCUUCAUCGAGUGUCGAGGUGGGCCGGUACGUUUACUUUGAACAAAUUAGAGUGCUCAAAGCAGGCUAUGUUCGCCUGAAUAUUCGUGCAUGGAAUAAUGGAAUAGGACCUCGGUUCUAUUUUGUUGGUUUUCGGAACCCCGAGGUAAUGAUUAAUAGGGACAGAUGGGGGCAUUCGUAUUGCGACGUUAGAGGUGAAAUUCUUGGAUCGUCGCAAGACGGACAGAAGCGAAAGCAUUUGCCAAAAAUGUUUUCAUUAAUCAAGAACGAAAGUUAGAGGUUCGAAGGCGAUCAGAUACCGCCCUAGUUCUAACCAUAAACGAUGCCAGCUAGCGAUCCGCCGAAGUUCCUCCGAUGACUCGGCGGGCAGCUUCCGGGAAACCAAAGCUUUUGGGUUCCGGGGGAAGUAUGGUUGCAAAGCUGAAACUUAAAGGAAUUGACGGAAGGGCACCACCAGGAGUGGAGCCUGCGGCUUAAUUUGACUCAACAC